AAUUCAGUUUAGGGUUUAAAACCCUAAUGUUGACUGAAUGGAAAAAGUUCAGUGUAGGGUUUAAAACCCUAAUGCUGACUAAUGGAAAAGUUCAGUUUACGGUUUAAAACCCUAAUGCUGACUAAAUGGAAAGAGUUCAGUUUAGGGUUUAAAACCCUAAUGCUGACUAAAUGGAAAGAGUUCAGUUUAGGGUUUAAAACCCUAAUGCUGACUGAAAGGAAAAAGUUCAGUUUAGGGUUUAAAACCCUAAUGCUGACUAAAUGGAAAGAGUUUAGUUUAGGGUUUAAAACCCUAAUGCUGACUGAAUGGAAAAAGUUCAGUUUAGGGUUUAAAACCCUAAUGCUGACUAAAGGAAAAGUUCAGUUUAGAGUUUAAAACCCUAAUGCUGACUAAAUGGAAAGAGUUCAGUUUAGGGUUUAAAACCCUACUGUUGACUGAAAGGAAAAAGUUCAGUUUAGGAUUUAAAACCCGAAUGCUGACUGGACGGAAAAAGUUCAGUUUAGGGUUUAAAGCCCUAAUGCUAACUAAAGGAAAAGUUCAGUUUAGGGUUUAAAACCCUAAUGCUGACUAAAUGGAAAGAGUUUAGUUUAGGGUUUAAAACCCUAAUGCUGACUGAAAGGAAAAAGUUCAGUUUAGUGUUUAAAACCCUAAUGCUGACUGGAUGGAAAUAGUUCAGUUUAGGGUUUAAAACCCUAAUGCUGACUAAAGGAAAAAUUCAGUUUAGGGUUUAAAACCCUAAUGCUGACUAAAUGGAAA
rnacentral:lncRNA from 1 species